rnacentral:lncRNA from 1 species
GCGCGAGGAGAGCGCAAGUGGGGCUGCGCAGAGAGCGCACGGCCAGCCCGCUGGUGAUGAGCCCGUUCUAGGACUUGCUGCCUGGUGUAAGCUGUUCGGGAGCGCUUAGGUUCCCCUCCGCUGUAAUUGGGGUUCACUGGGAAAGAAACACGGAGAACUUUACAGACCGAAGGGGGACUUUCCGCCUCGCCUUCCCACGCGGCCCCAGGAGCGCUCCGGCGGUGCCCGGCGCGGCCGUUCCGCGGGGCCGGCUCCUACCGCGGUUCCUGCGCGGAAGAGCCCCGCACGCCGACGGCCUAUUUCCUCGGCAAUAAAAAUUUACGACGAGUGUAAUUGGCCGCCUCGCCUUAAAGCCUCGCCAGGGCUCGAGCGAGCAUCCCUGAGGACACACGCGGGAGCGGGGUAGAAGAGCAAAGUAAGAAGAGGAUCCUUACCCGAGUUAACAUGGACUUUCUUCAUCCAG